ACAGAGAUAUUCGCGCAAAGUUAGAGGUUUAGCCUAAGUCGUCUUAAUAAAAUGUUUUUAAUAAUUGAGAAAAUUUUAAAUGUUCUAACAUUUUGAGUCCGAUCCUGUCUACCUGCCGCUUUGUGAUGAAGGCUUCAAAAU